GGAAUAUUGGACAAUGGCCGAGAGGCUGAUCCAGCCAUGCCGCGUGCGGGAGGACGGCCCUAUGGGUUGUAAACCGCUUUUGUUGGGGAGCAAUAAGGUCUACGUGUAGACUGAUGAGAGUACCCAGCGAAUAAGCAUCGGCUAACUCCGUGCCAGCAGCCGCGGUAAUACGGAGGAUGCGAGCGUUAUCCGGAUUCAUUGGGUUUAAAGGGUGCGCAGGCGGCCCGGUAAGUCAGCGGUGAAAGUCAGGGGCCCAACCCCGGAAGUGCCGUUGAUACUGUCGGGCUGGAAUGCGGUCGAGGCGGGCGGAAUGUGGUGUGUAGCGGUGAAAUGCAUAGAUAUGCCACAGAACGCCGAUAGCGAAGGCAGCUCGCCAGGCCUGCAUUGACGCUCGGGCACGAAAGCGUGGGGAUCAAACA
rnacentral:rRNA from 1 species